GUGCAGCAGUCGAGAAUACUUUACAAUGUGCGAAAGCACGAUAAGGGAGCUCUGAGUGCCUCCUAAGGAGGCUGUUCAGGUGUCUAAAAAGCACCUGAAGGAAGGGCUGGGUGAGACCGGUGCCAGCCGCCGCGGUAACACCGGCAGCCCAAGUGGUAGCCACGUUUAUUGGGCCUAAAGCGUCCGUAGCCGGCUGGGUAAGUUCCUUGGGAAAUUUGGCUGCUUAACAGUCAAGCUUUCAGGGAAUUCUGCCCGGCUUGGGACCGGGAGAGGUCAGAGGUACUCCAGGGGUAGGGGUGAAAUCCAUUAAUCCUUGGGGGACCACCGGUAGCGAAGGCGUCUGACCAGACCGGGUCCGACGGUGAGGGACGAAGGCUA
rnacentral:rRNA from 1 species